GAUGAACGCUGGCGGCAUGCCUAAUACAUGCAAGUCGAACGGACUAAAGAGAAAAGCUUGCUUUUUUUGGAAGUCAGUGGCGAACGGGUGAGUAACACGUAGGUAACCUGCCCAUGUGCCCGGGAUAAUUUCUGGAAACAGAUGCUAAUACCGGAUAACAACACUAGACGCAUGUCUAGAGUUUGAAAGAUGGUUCUGCUAUCACUCUUGGAUGGACCUGCGGUGCAUUAGCUAGUUGGUAAGGUAACGGCUUACCAAGGCAAUGAUGCAUAGCCGAGUUGAGAGACUGAUCGGCCACAUUGGGACUGAGACACGGCCCAA
rnacentral:rRNA from 1 species